GAGUCCUACGGGGGGCAGCAGUGGGGAAUAUUGCGCAAUGGGCGAAAGCCUGACGCAGCGACGCCGCGUGAGGGAUGAAGGUCUUCGGAUCGUAAACCUCUGUCAGCAGGGAAGAACGGUCACUGUGCUAAUCAGCAGUGAAUUGACGGUACCUGAAUAAGAAGCACCGGCUAAAUACGUGCCAGCAGCCGCGGUAAUACGUAUGGUGCAAGCGUUAUCCGGAUUUACUGGGCGUAAAGGGAGCGCAGGCGGCGCGCCAAGUCUGAUGUGAAACCCCGGGGCUCAACCCCGGGCAUGCAUUGGAA
rnacentral:rRNA from 1 species